GGCUAAUACUAAAUUUUCAGUGAAUCUUGAAAUAGUGAAUAGAAACUUCUUUGGAAAAUAUAAAAUUACUUGAAUUGCCUUUUAACAAAACAAAGAUCAGUCAAAUAAAAGGUUUAUUUUAGGCAUAUACUAGGCCAAAUCCUGUAGUUUUCAGAUUGCAGAAAAUGUCUUCAUUGAAAGAGAAACAGAGGAAUAGUCACAAACUAUAACAGGGUAUAAAUUUUCCCAUACUGAAAAGAACUUGCAGGUUACUCUGCAUAUUUUCAGAGUAUAAUCUAAUAUACUUUUCCUUAUGCCUCCAUCUCAUUCUAUACAGUACAAUGUAAUUAAUUCACUGCCAUUAGCAAUGACUUGAAAUAGAUUUGGGAUUGACAUAGAAAAUGCAAUUUGCUUUUAUUGCAGGUGCUAUUAGUUCACUGGCACCAUUUUGGAAGUCACUGCUUUCAGGGUAAUGCUGCAGUGGGAAAAUGCACAUCCUCCUCAGCAGGUGAGUAUGAGUGGUAAUCAGAAGAAAUACAACACUGAGAUAAAAUUAGACUAAUAAUACAACAAGGAAAGGAACUCCAGCUCUCUGGGAAUUCUCCUAACCUGAGAACAAGAUGUCACCAUUUUCUACAGCAACGUGAAACCUAUAAGGUCUAAACUAUUUAUUUCUGGUAUGUAGAAAUUUCUGUUGGAGAUCAGUUUUCUGGUAACAGAAUAUAGUAUUUUUCUUGCUUGUGAUUGCAACAUUUUUUUAUUUGAGGUGUGAACAUAAAAGUUGUGUUAAUGUAACCUUUGUGAAUGUAGCACAUAAUUUUGGAGUACAAACAUAUACUAUGAAAUAUUUUCUGAUGAAUUAAAUACAUUUUUAAAAAUGCAUCUAAGGGAAAAAAAACCCCAAAACAAACCUACAACAGAAUUUCUGUUGAUUAAGAGGUAUUUUAUUCCAAAAUUCUAAAUAUCAGAAUCAAAUCAAUACUUACAUUUUUCAGUUCCCAAUCAUAAUAUUUUGAAAUUGUAUAUAUACAUAGAAAAAUACAACCUAAUAAAAACACUCAAAUUUGCA
rnacentral:lncRNA from 1 species